GGCCAAAAGUAUGAGUAAACCUAAGAGUUGUUGAAGAAAACAUGUUUUCUUACAGGGCAAGUUACAGUCUGCUUCUGUGUGGCAAAGGUUUCUAUAGAAACAGAAGAAUGACUGUUGCUGGUAAAGAAAUGUCAUGGCAACCAGACAUGGGAGUAGCAGAGCACUGCCAAGGAGGCAGCAGGGAGAAGAUGAGCAAAAACUGGCUGAAAUCUGCUCAGAGCUGUUUGGAGGCUGCAAGGCAUCUUUACAGAAAAAAAAAAAAAAGGUCAGGAAAUCCCCUCAUGAAGCCAGAAAGUGCACAGACAGGAAAAGGCCUUUAACUAUUGAGCAGGGCAGAGGAGCACAAUCAGAAAAAAGAAAGUUUUUGAGUUUGAAAUGGCUUAUUCCAAAUUGAUCACUUCUAAAUUUCCUUAUUGUGUCUGUUGGAGCAACCCUUUGAAAUUAUGGUGGAUCCUCAAGCCACCAGUAGCAUACUACAAUAGUUCUUUGAGAAUUGUAGUGUCACCUUGUGGUUGGUUUCCCUGUGCAAGCUGAACACAUUUUAGAGAUAAUGAAUAAGUAAUUUCCUUCCAGUUUACCUACCUGUAUGAAUGCUUCACUAUUUUUGCAUGCCAACUGGGGAAUUGCUUAAGAAUAUUAUAGGAAGAUCUCAUUUAUUUUCUAAGAAACACAAUGCAUGAAAAAGAAAUCUCUUUCAAGUAUGUUUGACUUUUUUAAUUCAUAAAUAGGAUUUAUCAUCAAGACAAACUCCAAUGCUGGCAUUGGCCAGGAAGUCAUUACUAUCUGGUAAAAAGUAUGAAAUCUUAGAUUACUCUGCCUAUUUUUCCCUCUUCCAUGCAGGAGACAAAGGUGAGUGACCAUUUUCAUUGUCAUUGGGACCUAGAGAAAUAGUGCAAUGCUGUAGAAAGGACACAGGCUCUGCAGGUAUGACUUUUUUUUCUAUUCUGACUGUCAUUUACCACCUGUUGGACCUUUGGCCCUUAAACACUCUGGGCUUCAUUAAAAAAUAGAUAAUGGAAUAUAUGACCAACAUAUCUUCCACCUCUGUGUCUAUUACGCUAAUUUAAAUGAUGGCCAAUCAAAAAAGGUCUCCGUUCCCCUUUCUGAGUGUUGUGGAAAAAAGCUUGUUGUAUUGACUCUGGGUCUGGAAAUGAGUGUACACAGAAGAGGUCCCAAAGGCUAAACUUUUUUUUUUUCCUUUCAGGAUCAUUGCAUUCAAGUGAGGAAACAACUAUUUCUCUAAGUCUCUGAGUCCUAAAGGAUGGUGGAGGAGGGAUGCCUGUGACGUGCUUCCCACAAUAGUCAGUUGAAUCCAUUGGGCAGAGAGCCAUGUUUUUGCUUUGUUCCUGCUACGUCUACUUUUUUUUUUUAAUCUGAGUUAGAAGAGCAGUAGUGAUGGAAUCAACUACGCCUGUGACCUUAUGAAUUGAAAGAUUGGCAGAUCCCCAGAGGUCAGGAAUUGGAGUCUAUGCUAGCUUUUUUGACAAGUCAAGCUAUUGAUAAUUGAAAUCUUAACCAAGCUUUUUAAUCCAGCCCAGGAGCAGAUCAGCACUGAGAUAAUGAUUUCUGCAAGCAAAGAGUGACUCAUCCAUUGAAUAUGUCACAUUGAGAAAUGAAUUUAGUGGGUUGAAUUUUUUUUUUAUCAACCAUUUUAAGUUGAGCUCUUUCUUCCCAGGGGCUGAAAGAAUAAAACUUUAAGUAUUCCCCA
ensembl:lncRNA